AUAUUUAUACACGGAGUACAUCGCUACAUGUCUACCUUUACACAGCUCGUCAAGGGGAGGCACAUGCAACUCUUGGUGUUCAACAUGGCCAUGUAUAUAUUCAAAUUUCUCUUUUUCUCUGGCUAAAAUACCGUCAGCUGUUCCUGCCUCUCCCAUUUCGACUUCAUCAAUUCGAACAACAUCUCCUUCGCUCGCCAUUGCUGACAUUUUGGAAAUUUCGAACACGAGAAUUCCUUCGUACGAUCUCUGAAAAUUC
rnacentral:lncRNA from 1 species